UCCGGGGCAGAAAAUUGGA
rnacentral:misc_RNA from 1 species